rnacentral:rRNA from 1 species
GCCCUUAGAGUUUGAUCCUGGCUCAGGAUGAACGCUAGCUACAGGCUUAACACAUGCAAGUCGAGGGGAAACGACAUCGAAAGCUUGCUUUUGAUGGGCGUCGACCGGCGCACGGGUGAGUAACGCGUAUCCAACCUGCCCACCACUUGGGGAUAACCUUGCGAAAGUAAGACUAAUACCCAAUGAUAUCUCUAGAAGACAUCUGAAAGAGAUUAAAGAUUUAUCGGUGAUGGAUGGGGAUGCGUCUGAUUAGCUUGUUGGCGGGGUAACGGCCCACCAAGGCGACGAUCAGUAGGGGUUCUGAGAGGAAGGUCCCCCACAUUGGAACUGAGACACGGUCCAAACUCCUACGGGAGGCAGCAGUGAGGAAUAUUGGUCAAUGGGCGAGAGCCUGAACCAGCCAAGUAGCGUGCAGGAUGACGGCCCUAUGGGUUGUAAACUGCUUUUAUAAGGGAAUAAAGUGAGUCUCGUGAGACUUUUUGCAUGUACCUUAUGAAUAAGGACCGGCUAAUUCCGUGCCAGCAGCCGCGGUAAUACGGAAGGUCCGGGCGUUAUCCGGAUUUAUUGGGUUUAAAGGGAGCGUAGGCCGGAGAUUAAGCGUGUUGUGAAAUGUAGAUGCUCAACAUCUGAACUGCAGCGCGAACUGGUUUCCUUGAGUACGCACAAAGUGGGCGGAAUUCGUGGUGUAGCGGUGAAAUGCUUAGAUAUCACGAAGAACUCCGAUUGCGAAGGCAGCUCACUGGAGCGCAACUGACGCUGAAGCUCGAAAGUGCGGGUAUCGAACAGGAUUAGAUACCCUGGUAGUCCGCACGGUAAACGAUGGAUGCCCGCUGUUGGUCUGAAUAGGUCAGCGGCC